ACCAGUGUGGUGCAGUGGAAAGAAUGCUGGAUUUGGAGUCAGAGGACCUGGGUUCGAAUCCCAGCUCUGCUA
rnacentral:tRNA from 1 species